rnacentral:rRNA from 1 species
UACUGCUAUCGGUGUUCGACUAAGCCAUGCUAGUUAAAUGUUCUUCGUGAACAUAGCGGACUGCUCAGUAACACGUGGACAAUCUGCCCUUGGGUUCAGCAUAACCCCGGGAAACUGGGGAUAAUUCUGAGUAGAUCACAUAUGCUGGAAUGCUUUGUGAUUAAAAGAUCCGUCGCCCAAGGAUGGGUCUGCGGCCUAUCAGGUUGUAGUGGGUCUAGAGUACCUACUAGCCAACGACGGGUACGGGUUGUGAGAGCAAGAGCCCGGAGAUGGAUUCUGAGACAUUAAUCCAGGCCCUACGGGGCGCAGCAGGCGCGAAACCUUUACACUGCGGGAAACCGCGAUAAGGGGACACCGAGCGCCAGCAUACAAUGCUGGCUGUCCACAUGUGUAAAUAGCAUGUGAUAGCAAGGGCCGGGCAAGACCGGUGCCAGCCGCCGCGGUAACACCGGCGGCCCGAGUGGUAAUCACUAUUAUUGGGUCUAAAGGGUCCGUAGCCGGUUUGAUCAGUCUUCCGGGAAAUCUGACAGCUCAACUGUUAGGCUUCCGGGGGAUACUGUCAGGCUUGGGACCGGGAGAGGUAAGAGGUACUACAGGGGUAGGAGUGAAAUCUUGUAAUCCCUGUGGGACCACCAGUGGCGAAGGCGUCUUACCAGAACGGGUCCG